AGUAACACGUGGGAAACCUGCCCAGAAGCGUGGGGAUAACACCUGGAAACAGAUGCUAAUACCGCAUAACAACUUGGACCGCAUGUCCGAGUUUGAAAGAUGACUUCGGCUAUCACUUUUGGAUGGUCCCGCGGCGUAUUAGCUAGAUGGUGGGGUAACGGCUCACCAUGGCAAUGAUACGUAGCCGACCUGAGAGGGUAAUCGGCCACAUUGGGACUGAGACACGGCCCAA
rnacentral:rRNA from 1 species